rnacentral:rRNA from 1 species
ACCCUUUAAUGUUUGAUGUUCUAACGUGGACCCGUGAUCCGGGUUGCGGACAGUGUCUGGUGGGUAGUUUGACUGGGGCGGUCUCCUCCUAAAGAGUAACGGAGGAGCACGAAGGUUGGCUAAUCCUGGUCGGACAUCAGGAGGUUAGUGCAAUGGCAUAAGCCAGCUUGACUGCGAGCGUGACGGCGCGAGCAGGUGCGAAAGCAGGUCAUAGUGAUCCGGUGGUUCUGAAUGGAAGGGCCAUCGCUCAACGGAUAAAAGGUACUCCGGGGAUAACAGGCUGAUACCGCCCAAGAGUUCAUAUCGACGGCGGUGUUUGGCACCUCGAUGUCGGCUCAUCACAUCCUGGGGCUGAAGUAGGUCCCAAGGGUAUGGCUGUUCGCCAUUUAAAGUGGUACGCGAGCUGGGUUUAGAACGUCGUGAGACAGUUCGGUCCCUAUCUGCCGUGGGCGCUGGAGAACUGAGGGGGGCUGCUCCUAGUACGAGAGGACCGGAGUGGACGCAUCACUGGUGUUCGGGUUGUCAUGCCAAUGGCACUGCCCGGUAGCUAAAUGCGGAAGAGAUAAGUGCUGAAAGCAUCUAAGCACGAAACUUGCCCCGAGAUGAGUUCU